AAAAAAAAGAAAAAAAAAGAGAGGUGACUGGUGAGAUGAUGAAUACAACAACUACAUGGUUCGAGAGUUUCUUGGAAUAAUACUAGACAGCUUGAUAUUUUCUUCAAGGGACUACAGGACUUUAAAUCAAGCGAGAUGACAACUAACUAUUGGAGUAUAAAACCAAAAAAUCAAUGUAUGUAUCUUACAAAAGGGUACAAGUUUUUUGGAAACUAGAUAGAGAGGUGGUCCAAAGAGAAGGAAGGUUGAUAUGUUUGGGGAAGAAGAGGGAGGUGGGGACUUCUCGUAGCCUUUCUGGAAUAGCACACUGUUACAUGCCAUCCCUCUCGAUAUGUCAACUUGUCCAUUGUUCCUUAUUAUAACUCUACUCCUUUUUAUGUUUUCUCUUGUAUUUGUUUUUUUUUCUAACCUUUUUUCUGAUACUUGGGAGCUUUAAAAUAUCAGGAUUUGGAUUAAGAUCCGUGUAUACAUGCGGAAAUAAUAAAAAGGUUAUAUUAACUUGGAGA